GCAAGUCGAACGGUAACAGGAAGCAGCUUGCUGCUUCGCUGACGAGUGGCGGACGGGUGAGUAAUGUCUGGGAAACUGCCUGAUGGAGGGGGAUAACUACUGGAAACGGUGGCUAAUACCGCAUAACGUCGCAAGACCAAAGAGGGGGACCUUCGGGCCUCUUGCCAUCAGAUGUGCCCAGAUGGGAUUAGCUAGUUGGUGAGGUAACGGCUCACCAAGGCGACGAUCCCUAGCUGGUCUGAGAGGAUGACCAGCCACACUGGAACUGAGACACGGUCCAGACUCCUACGGGAGGCAGCAGUGGGGAAUAUUGCACAAUGGGCGCAAGCCUGAUGCAGCCAUGCCGCGUGUAUGAAGAAGGCCUUCGGGUUGUAAAGUACUUUCAGCGGGGAGG
rnacentral:rRNA from 1 species